rnacentral:rRNA from 1 species
GUCCACGCCGUAAACGAUGACAACUAGCUGUUGGAAGUCGAUGUACUUCAAGUGGCGAAGCUAACGCGAUAAGUUGUCCGCCUGGGGAGUACGGCCGCAAGGCUAAAACUCAAAGGAAUUGACGGGGGCCCGCACAAGCGGUGGAGCAUGUGGUUUAAUUCGAUGCAACGCGAAAACCUUACCUACUCUUGACAUCCUAUUAAUCCUGUAGAGAUACGGAGUGUCUUCGGACAGAUAGAGACAGGUGCUGCAUGGCUGUCGU